rnacentral:lncRNA from 1 species
UAGGGGAACAUUGAACAUACAACGUUAACAACGACAUCUAGCGGCUAUUUAAAAAACUUGUGUUACAUUAGUGAUGCGAACCCUGUAGCAAUGGAAACUACGAAACCCACAACGAGAUUGAUGCAGAACCCAAGAACGCUAAUAUUAACCCGAUUUUGGAUUUUGAAUCCUAAGAAUUGAACCAAGAAACCCUCGAUUAGCGAAGAACCUAAAACCCCUUGAUUACAAUUGAAAGAACCCACAAUCCGAUUGAUUAGAACGCCACAAGAAGUCAAUUCUUGAUAAGUUCCAAGAUUGUUCAAGAAGAACAAUAAAUUGAAAGAAUAAAUUUCUCUCUCUAUAAUAUUAAUUCAAAAGUCAAAAGUUCAAAGUUGUUACAAUGAAAAGUUAUCUCCUAUUUAUACUAAUGAAUAAAAACGUCCAAAACCAUCAAAUUAUGGUAAUAAUUUGAUUUCAUAAGAAUUCUAUCGAAACUAGGAAAUUCGGCCAAAAUUAGAAAAUUCGCCAAUUUUUUGGCUUGUGCGGCCGCAUGGUGUAAAUCUAUGCGGUCGCAUGGUUCAACUGGAAUUGGACUUUUGAUUUUUGGUAUGCAUGUGUGCGGUCGCAUGUGGUUUUGCCUGUGCGGCCGCAUGGUGUUGUCUUCAACCUCCGCUUUCAUUGCUUGAUAACAAAUUGAUCCAAAUUGAUUCGGCUUUCGACCCAAACAUGAAAGUUGCUCCAUUUCCAGUCCUAAACAUGGUUCCAUCAAUGGUUUCUUGAACGAGCAAUCCCAUCACUUGUUUCACUUGCUUUGCCUUUGAUCGCGUCAUUGGUCCGCCAUCGACUAUCAACGAAUCUCGUCUUGCACUUGCCUUCGUCGGGCUCGACUCCUAGAUCAUAUCAUCCCCUCCCUCUUCAAAAUGAUUCGUCCUCGAAUCUGAGCCUGCAUCAAAUAGAGAGAGAUCAGAUACAUUAAAAGUAGCUGAAACAUUAUACUCAUUAGGUAAAUCCACUUUGUAUGCAUUGUCAUUGGUCCUCUUGAUGAUUUGAAAUGGUCCAUCGCCUCGUGGUUGCAAUUUUGACUUCCUCUGUUCUGGAAAACACUCUUUUCUGAAAUGCACCCAGACCCAAUCUCCAGGCUCAAAUGUAAUGCGUAUUCUUCCUUUAUUUGCUUUUGAUGCAAUCAGCUUUCCUUUCUCUUUGAUCUGCAUCCUGACCUUUUCAUGGAGCGUUUUCACCAUCUCGGCUUUUCGUUUCCCAUCCAAGCUAUCUCGUUUAUGCACAGGUAAAGUCAUUAAAUCCAUAGGUGUUAGUGGAUUAAAACCAUAAACAAUUUCAAAAGGAGAAAACAAAGUAGUAGAAUAUGUAGCUCGAUUAUAUACAAACUCUAUAAACGGUAAACACUCUUCCCAUGAUUUCAGAUUUUUAUUGAUUACUGUCCUAAGUAGUUGAGUCCUAGUUCGAUUAACUACCUCAGUUUGUCCAUCUGUUGGUGGGUGACAAGUUGUAGAAAAUAAUAACUUAAUUCCUAACUUACUCCACAGAACAUGCCAAAAUGACUCAAAAACUUUACGUCCCUAUCAGACACUAUACUUUUAGGUACUCCAUGUAAACAUACUAUUUCCCUAAAGAAAAGUCUACAAUAUUAGCAGCAUCGUCAGUUUUAUGACAUGGUAUGAAGUGCGCCAUUUUACUAAACCUAUCGACCACUACAAAUAUUGAAUCCCGAUCCCUUUUUGUCCUAGGCAAACCUAACACAAAGUCCAUAUAUAUGUCUACCCAAAGUUCACUAGGUAUAGACAAAGGAGUAUACAAACCAUGGGGUUGAACCUUAGACUUAGCCUUUUUACAAGUUAUGUACUUUCCACAUAUUUGUUCUACGUCAUGUCGCAUUUUAGGCCAAUAAAAAUGUCCCCUAACAUGUUUAAAGUCUUUUGAACUCCGAAGUGCCCCAUUAGACCACCCAUAUGUGCUUCCCUUACCAAUAAUUCACGCAAAGAACAAUUAGGAAUGCACAACUUAUCUUCCCUAAACAAAUAUCCUUCGUGCCUAUAGAAUUUAUCAAAUGCACCUUUGUCACAUGAAGCAUAAAUACUAGAAAAAUCACAAUCAAAUUCAUACAUGCCGUUAAUAUGCUCGAAACCAAGUAAUUUAGUACUUAAUGAAUUUAAAAGCACCUACCUUCGAGACAGUGCAUCAGCAACUAUAUUUUCAUUACCUUGUUAGUACUUGAUGACGUAGGGAAAUGUCUCGAUAAACUCCACCCAUCUCGAAUGUCUUUUGUUCAACUUACAUUGACCUCACAAAUGCUUUAAAGAUUCAUGAUCGGUGUGUAUCACGAAUUCCUUUGGCCAUAGUAGUGCUGCCAAGUCUCCAAUGCUCGAACAAGUGAAUACAGCUCCUUGUCAUAUGUCAGAUAAUUCAAUGCUGCCCCACUCAACUUUUCACUGAAGUAAGCAAUAGGUCUCCUUUCCUGUAUUAACACUGCUCCUAUACCUAUUCCUGAUGCAUCACACUCAACCUCGAAUGUUUUAUCAAAAUUUGGUAAUGCCAAAACAGGUGCCUUACAUAGCUUAUCCUUAAUGGUGUUAAAUGCAAUUUCUUGAGAUUCUCCCUAAUGAAAACCUACACUCUUUUUUCUUAUUUCGGUCAACGGUGUGGUGAUGGUGUUAAAAUCUCUUACAAAUCGCCUAUAAAAACUAUCAAAUCCAUGAAAACUCCUAACUUCAUUAUAGUCUUAGGUGUUGGCCAUUCUUUUAUAGCUUUUAUCUUUUCUUCAUCGACUUCCACCCCAUUAACACUAAGCACAAAUCCUAGGAAAACAACUCUAUCCAUGCAAAAUGUGCACUUUUUGAAAUUAGCAUAUAGUUGUUCCUUUCGCAACACAACAAGCACACAAUUUAAAUGUUCUAAAUGCUUAUCUAGGUUUUUGCUAUAGAUUAAGAUGUCAUCAAAAUAAAUUACAAAAAUUUUUCCAAUAAAAGCACGCAAAACAUGGUUAAUUAAACGAAUAAAAGUGCUCGGUGCAUUAGUGAGUCCAAAUGGCAUAACUAACCAUUCAUACAAUCCAUACUUAGUCUUAAACGCCGUUUUCCAUUCAUCAUCCUCCCGCAUACGAAUUUGAUGAUAUCCACUCUUAAGAUCAAUCUUACUAAAAAUGCAAGCACCAUGCAACUCAUCAAGCAUAUCAUCUAGCCUAGGUAUUGGGUGAUGAUACUUUACCGUGAUAUUGAUAAUAGCUCGACAAUCCACGCACAUUCUCCAAGUCCCGUCCUUCUUAGGCUCCAGCAAAACAGGUACAGUACAUGGACUCAUGCUCUCCCUGACAUAACUUUCGCUCAUCAACUCCUCCACUUGCCUUUGAAGCUUCUUCGUCUCCUUGGGAUUGUUUCGGUAAACUGGUCAAUUCGGUAUGACAGCUCCGGGUACAAAGUCAAUCUGGUGCUCGAUGCCUCUGAUUGGUGGCAAUCUACUUGGCAUCUCCUCAGGAAACACGUCGUCGAACUCCUGCAAUAAAGACUUAACUAAACUAGGGAGAGAUGUGUUAGAAUCCUCAAAAUUGAGGAGGGAUUCCUUGUAUAUUAACAAUAUCAUUUGCCUAUUAUCGCUCAUAGCCUUUUUCAACUCACUCUCUCUUGCAUAGAAGUUGACCUUUGGCUUUUCUCUCCGCUCAGCUGAAUCUUUUUCUCUCCGCUCAUGUGGCUUCUCUCUCUUUUCUCCACUCUCAGCCACCUCACUAUUUUCUCUCUUAUUGAUAGUUUCACUAUUGCCUCUCCUUUUUCUUGACUCUCUUAUUCUCUCGUCUUCCUUACUUUUCAGCUUGAUUUGAUCUCCAUACACUUGUGUCGGUGUUAAUGGCGCAAGAGUAAUAGUCUUCCUAUCCUUGACAAAACUAUAACGAUUCCUAUAUCCAUUAUGUGUGACCUUUCUAUCAUAUUGCCAUGGUCUUCCUAACAAGAUAUGACCCACAUGCAUAGGCACCACAUCACAUACUACUUUAUCACUAUAAUUUCCAAUUGAGAAAUUAAUUAAAACUCUUUUAUUCACCCUAACUUUCUCACUUUCAUUCAACCAUUACAACUUAUAAGGCCUAGGGUGUCUUAACAAUGCUAGCCCUAAUUUCUCAACUAAAGUUGUACUAGCUACACUCGUGCAACUCCCACCAUAAAUAAUCAUACUACAUACCUUAUCGUUGAUGUAACAACGUGUGUGGAAUAUAUUUUCUCGCUGCUGCUCCGAAUCAUCCACUUUGACUUGAGUGUUAAGAGCCCUCCUUGACACCAACGAUUCCCCAACAGCAAACUUCAAUUUUUCUUCUUCUUCAACAUCCUCCAAUGCAGGCAUGUCCUCAAACUCUCCUUCACUUUCACUCACCACCUCUCCAUUAUCCAACAAAACUAUUACCCAUUUAUUUGGCCAUUGAGAAGCAAUGUGCCCUGACCCCAAGUAUCUGAAACACUUGAUGUCUCGAUUCCUUGAUGGUUGUGAAUCUGUUUUGGGUGCUGUUUUGCUAGCACUUUCUUCUUUCCCUUUCUGCCACUCAUUCCUACCUUUAGGUACAGCUUUAUCACCUUUGUUGUUGUUGUUCCACCCUGGCUUCCAAGAUCGAUUAACACUCGAAGUUCCUAACGGCUGCCUAGCUGCCCCUUUCCUCUUCAACUGUCUCUCUACCUUCAUAGCCACAUGCAACAUGUCUUCUAACUCCACGUAAUGUUGCAACUCCACUACAUUGGCAAUUUCCUUAUUCAACCCAUUCAAGAAUCGUGCCAUGGUAGCCUCCCGAUCCUCCAUCACAUUGGCCCUAAUCGUGAGUAUUUCCAUCUCCUUAUGAUAGUCCUCUACACUUUUCGACCCUUGAUAUAGACCUUGCAGUUUUUGAUGGAUCUCUCGGUAAUAGUUGCUAGGAACAAACCUCUUUCUCGUCAAUGACUUCAAUUCCUCCCAAGUGUUGAUUGGUCUUCCCCCACUCCUACGUUGUGAAAUAAUCACUUGAUCCCACCAUGAAAUUGCAUAGUCACUGAACUCCAAAACUGCUAACUUCACCUUUUUCUCCUCCGAGUGGUUAUAACACUCGAAGAUCAUUUCAUCCUUCCUUUCCCACUUCAAGUAUGCCUCGGGAUCACCCCUUCCUUUGAAUGAAGGAACUGUUAUUUUUAUAUUUCCCAAGUUUCCAUCUAACUCCUCCCCGCGAUCAUUUCGACCCCGUCUGUCGAAACUAUCGCCUCUAUUCCUCAUCCUUCCCAUCUCAACACCGUGAAAUUCAUCUUCGCCCAUGUCACUCCCAUAUCCAUACUCCUCUCGCCUUUCCCUCCUAGGCUCCUAUCUAUCUGGUCCUCUGGCAUUGGAUACAUCCACUCGAUGCCCUCGACUAAGAUUAGCCAUCGAUGUAUCUAAUCUAUUCAUCCAAGCCUCCUGCUUCUCCAACCUAUCUCUCACAUCUCCAAACGCCCUUUCAAACCUUUGCACUAAAUCCUCCGAUGCAUUGCUAUUAUUACCUUGUCAGGUUAAGUUUGAUUCUGCCCUUUCUGACAUCCUAACACUAAAGAUUUUAUUUUACUGCCUCACCAAAAGUCACUUGGAAACACACAAGGGCUUUUACCCUCUAUUAAACUCACCUCUCUGCUUUUUACCACUCAAUUCUUUCAACAAUUGCUUCUAGGAACAAUCAACAAACUUAAUCAAUCAAUCAAAUCGUGUAGAAUUUCCCAAACCGGAUGUGACUCAAUAAUUGUAACAAAGGACUCAAAGAAAACUUUCAAAACUUGACUUGAAUUGAAGGAAUGUAAUGAUUUAAUGUGUCCAAGUAAUUUAGAAACGAUAAUGAAUAAUAAAAGUCGGUAUUUGAAAGAUCAAUAAUAUUUAACAAGUUUUUUUACUGUACGGAUGAACAAUAAUUUUUUUUAGAUCCGGAAAUCAAUAACAAAACCAACAAAGAAAAUGAAAACUGAUUUGGGCGAAAAUUGAGCCCAGAAAUGAAACUUGAAGAUUUUUGAUGAAAUUUUUGGAUCAAAGGAUCAAGCAAACCUUCUGGACACAAGAACACAAGAAAUUGAAAAAAAUUAGAAAACAAAUGAUAUAACCUGAUUAAAUUGGAGCCAAACUCUGAUACCAACUGAUGCGAACCCUGUAGCAAUGGAAACUACGAAACCCACAACGGGAUUGAUGCGGAACCCAAGAACGCCAAUACUAACCAGGUUUUGGAUCUUGAAUCCCAAGAAUUGAACCAAGAAAUCCUAGAUAGCGAAGAACCUAAAACCCCUUGAUUACAAUUGAAAGAACCCACAAUCCGAUUGAUUAGAACGCCACAAGAAGUCGACUCUUGAUAAGUUUCAAGAUUGUUCAAGAAGAACAAUAAAUUGAAAGAAUAAAUUUCUCUCUAUAAUAUUAAUUCAAAAGUCAAAAGUUCAAAGUUGUUACAAUGAAAAGUAAUCUCCUAUUUAUACUAAUGAAUAAAAACGUCCAAAACCAUCAAAUUAUGGUAAUAAUUUGAUUUCAUAAGAAUUCUAUCGAAAUUAGAAAAUUCACCAAUUUUUUGGCUUGUGCGGCCGCAUGGUUCAACUGGAAUUGGACUUUUGGUUUUUGGUAUGCAUGUGUGCGGCCGCAUGUGGUUUUGCCUGUGCGGCCGCAUGGUGUUGUCUUCAACCUUUGCUUUCGUCGCUUAAUAACAAAUUGAUCCAAGUUGAUUCGGCCUUCGACCCGAACAUAAAAGUUGCUCCAUUUCGAGUCCCGGACAUGGUUCCAUCAAUGGUUUCUUGAAUGAGCAAUCCCAUCGCUUGUUUCACUUGCUUUGCCCUUGAUCGCGUCAUUGGUCCGCCAUCGACUAUCAACGGGUCUCGUCUCGCACUUGCCUUCGUCGGGCUCGACUCUUGGAUCAUAUCAAUUAGGGUUUGAACAUGUGCUUUGGUUAUGACCCACUCGACCACAGCGAGUGUAUUUCCUAACGUGUGUGGUGAACUCAUAUCUAGAUCGCUUACGUCAUGUCAGUGGCCUACCUAAAGGACAACAUCCAAUGGGUGACAAAACAAGAGUACACCUAAUUAAGCUUGGAACAACCCAAUCCGCUUCUCGCGAUGCAAGAUACAUUGCUUUGCUAUAAGCACCCUCCAGUAUUCAGAUGUGUAAUAAGAGGAGCAUAGGUCAUACAAAGACUUUCCUAUGAAGCAAGCGGCACAAGUCGCAUGAAAACAUUGCAUACGAUUUAGUUGGAACUCACAACACAUGCAGGUGUCUUUGAAAAAGUCUACUGUGUUCGUGUCGUUGGAUAUUCUUGUUAACACAUGAGCUCGAAGCCUACUACUAGAUUUGAAUGUUAUCUUCUAACUCGUUCUCAUUAUCAGCGACAAUAUGGUACUGUAUUUGGUCGCAUUUGUUCUAUGUUCAAAAAAUCACUUCUACAUGGUACACGAAUGUGUUCGAUUAAGCAGGUGAUCGGUAACAAACGAGCUUGUCUCAACAUCGAGUUCAAAGAUUCUGUGUUGUUCAUCAUAAUGUUGUACUAAUAGCCAAAAAGUAGUGCUCCUGACCAAAAAGAAAAACUUGGUUGCUGCAAGUACCCAUACGAUCUUUCGCUCGCUCUACGAAUCUGUUGCCAUGAGUUUUUCGAACUCAUCGACCCGAUAAGUUUUAGCAGCUCGUUCCAUAUGCCAGAGACAACAACUAUUGUGAGACAACGAAAAUAACUAAUUAAUUGCUUUCUAAAUACUGUUUUUCCGGUUUGAAACAAAUAUGAGUUCUUCCGAGUCCCCUUUAAGGUCUUUCAAAUUUGACAUAAACCAGAUCCAAGAUUUAUUUGUUUUGGCAUCCACGAUUCUCCAUACUAAGAGAUAAAUUUGUUUGUUGACAUAUUGGGCAGUUGCCAGUAGAAGUGUACCUCUGUAUGGACAUUUCAAGUGACUGUUGUCAACACAAAUAAUGGAGAUCAAGUACUGUAUGUAAUUACGAAUGCUUACACCAAAAGUUUGGAAGAAGUAAUUAAACAUAUUAAGGGAAUCAACUUCGAUGUGAGUUACUGUCUCCAGGUUACUUUCUCCUAGGACGUGACAGUAUGAAGAAAGUUUCCGAAAUCUGUCCCUUGGUGUACCAUGUAGCAUAUGUAAAGUAGCCACCUUCCUCCUAUGUACUUUGCUAUAAUUGAUUUUCACACGUAACUCACGUUUCAUGUCACGUGCAAUAGCAGUAAAGUCAUACGAUUGGUAUAGAUUAUCCAAUUUUCCCAAAAUGUGCUGGACAAUUACAAAACUAGUGGCAUGCUGAUGUGUGUUAUGACAAAAAUCAACAAAAUAUAUGUGCACGUUGAAUUUACGAAUCAAGAAGAUUGUAGAUUGUUUAACAGUCGAAAUAUGUAGAGAUGCUUGUUUUAUGUAUUUGACCUCGGUAGAAGGUGUCCCACGAGCUUGGAGUCGACCGUCUAGGCAUUCUCGUAUAAUCAAACAUCCCAACUUAGUAUCCGCAUCAAUUCCUUUCCCCUCCUUUUCCACUUGCUCCAUCAAUUCCUGUAACUCCUUCACUCUCAUCUUGACCUUCACUCUCAAAAUACUUCUCCUCCCUGACUGCUCAUGAUCGGCGAACGGGUGCACAACUUGUUUCUUCCCAAGCCAAUUCCCCAUUAUUGUGUUCUAUCUCUUGAUCUCUCGCCGUGGCCUACGUGAACUGACUGCGU